AUUGAACGCUGGCGGCAUGCCUUACACAUGCAAGUCGAACGGCAGCACGGGAGCAAUCCUGGUGGCGAGUGGCGAACGGGUGAGUAAUAUAUCGGAACGUGCCCAGUCGUGGGGGAUAACGCAGCGAAAGUUGUGCUAAUACCGCAUACGAUCUAUGGAUGAAAGCGGGGGAUCGCAAGACCUCGCGCGAUUGGAGCGGCCGAUAUCAGAUUAGGUUGUUGGUGAGGUAAAAGCUCACCAAGCCUGCGAUCUGUAGCUGGUCUGAGAGGACGACCAGCCACACUGGAACUGAGACACGGUCCAGACUCCUACGGGAGGCAGCAGUGGGGAAUUUUGGACAAUGGACGAAAGUCUGAUCCAGCAAUGCCGCGUGCAGGACGAAGGCCUCGGUUGUAACUAGCUUUGUACAGACGAAAAGUACUUAAUAACACUAGAGGCGUCAUGACGGUACUGUAAGAAUAAGACACCGGCUAACUACG
rnacentral:rRNA from 1 species